GUGAGACCACACGACUGGCGAAGGUGGGCGACCACCGGGGAGUGACGUUCGUGGGCAUCGACCGCCUGGGUGCCCACC
rnacentral:ncRNA from 2 species